rnacentral:tmRNA from 1 species
GGGCUUGUACUGGUUUCGACGGGGAUUUUGAACGUGGGGCAGCCAUCCGUGGACUCCGGAACCACGUUAAAAGCUGGAAUUAAAUAUAAACGCUGAAGAAAAUUUAGCAUACGCUGCCUAGUUGCAGCAGUCGAACUUAGCUAACCCGCGCGCUAAGACCUCGGCUCCGAAUUAGCGGGACCCUCGUGCUACAAAGCUUUGCGUAGUAUGAAGUAAUAUGAAGCUACUAAAGUCUGGAGUUUGUCUUUAGACGCCAGAUGGAGGGAAUGUCAAAAUAGAGACUGUGAUGGGAGAUACCGUGCGGAAUAGGUUUUCGGACAGGGGUUCGAUUCCCCUCAGGUCCAUAG